rnacentral:lncRNA from 1 species
AAGUACCUCUCCUUAUUCAAGUUACUUUUCUAUUUUUAUUGACCUCAUGUUGUAAUGGAGGUCUCCAUUCAUUAUACAUCUUCACUAUUAUAUUCCUUUUUCAUACCUACUUCAAAAUAUUUUACUUGAGUUGAGGGUCUAUAGAAAACACUACCAUUUUCUGACCUCACUUAUAGAAUUACACUAGAUAUAUUGUUGGAAUUGAGGUGCAAGCAUUCAAGACCAG